rnacentral:snRNA from 1 species
CUGCUCGCUUUGAAAGCACAUAUAGUAAAAUUGGAAUGAUACAAGAUUAGCAUGCCUCCCGUGCAAGAAUGACACACAAAUUCAUGAAGUGUUCCAAUAAAAA